GUCAUUGCGAUAGUAAUCCUGCUCAGUACGAGAGGAACCGCAGGUUCGGACAUUUGGUUCACGCACUCGGUCGAGCGGCCGGUGGUGCGAAGCUACCAUCCGUGGGAUUAUGCCUGAACGCCUCUAAGGCCGUAUCCUCUCUAGUCAAAGGUGGCAAUGAU
rfam:Trachymyrmex cornetzi contig17257, whole genome shotgun sequence.